rnacentral:rRNA from 1 species
ACGAACGCUGGCGGCGUGCCUAACACAUGCAAGUCGAACGGACCCGCAAGGGUCAGUGGCAAACGGGUGCGUAACACGUGAGGAACCUGUCCAACGGCGGGGGAUAGCCGGCCCAACGGCCGGGUAAUACCGCGUACGACCUUCGAGGGGCAUCCCUUGGGGGUGAAAGCAGCAAUGCGCCGAUGGAGGGCCUCGCGGCCUAUCAGCUAGUUGGUGAGGUCACGGCUCACCAAGGCUACGACGGGUAGCUGGUCCGAGAGGAUGACCAGCCACAUUGGGACUGAGACACGGCCCAGACUCCUACGGGAGGCAGCAGUGGGGAAUAUCGCGCAAUGGGCGAAAGCCUGACGCAGCGACGCCGCGUGUGGGAUGAAGGUCUUCGGAUUGUAAACCACUGUCGGGAGGGACGAAGCUCUGACGGUACCUCCAAAGGAAGCACCGGCUAACUCUGU